CUUCGGCAGUGCCGGCAGGAAUGGAUCUUCUCCAGAGCUGGCGUGCGAUGGUUCUGCUCUGCCUCCUCUUGCCGGGAGGGCGUCCCAGCCCCUGCGGCGUGGCCAUCUCCCCCGAGGAGCCGGCGGUGGAGCUCGGCAGCUCCAUCGUGCUGAACUGCACCAGCUCCUGCGGCAACUACAGCCAGCUGGGCUGGGAGGUCUCCGUGCAGAAGAUGCUGGCGCAGGGCCCCGGCUGGGUGUCCCUGCACAUCCCCAGCGUCUCCGACUGGCACCUGGACCUCCAGUGCUUCGGCGUCUUCGGGAAGCAGCGGGACAUCGCCGUCACCACGCUCCACGGCUACAGGCUCCCACUCCCGCAGAUCGACCUGGGCGAGGAGAUGGUGGCGGGCAGGGAGGCGCGCGUCGCCUGCAACGUCUCCAGCYGGCUCCUGCCCCCGGGCCCGCUGGACCUGGAGCUGACGCUGACGCUGAGCGCCGGGGGCCGCACGCUGAGCACCGCCCGCGGCCGCCCCUGGCUGGUGCACGGCUUCACCGCGCGCCCGGAGCAGGACGGCCAGGAGGUGACCUGCGAGGCUCUGCUGCACCUGGGCCGGCGCUGGGUCAACGCCAGCGCCGCCGCCACGCUGCGGGUCUGGGCUGCGCCCUACGGCGUGAACGUCUCGGCCACCCCAGACCCCUUCGCCGCCGGCGAGAACCUCACGGUGACGUGCCGGGUGCAGGGCAACCCCCCGCCCCAGCUCCGCUGGGAGCUGCCCUCCAACGCCAGCCUGGAGCUGCGGGACGGGAACGCCACUGUGGCCGUGCAGGGCGCCGGGAGGCAGCACAGUGGCACCUACCGCUGCCUGGCCGCCAACCGCUACGGGGCCGGCGCCGCCCGGGCGGACGUGGGGUUCCGAGGUGAGGUGCCCGCAGGGUCGCCCCGCAGCCCGCUGGUGCCCGUGGCCGUGGCGCUGGCCGUGGUCGUGGCGCUGGCCGCCGUCGCCGGCCUCUGGUACCUGUCGCACGCCCGCGGAUGGAGACCCAUGCAGGAGGGGGCCCGGCCGGGCUAGCGYCGCCCGCGCCGCGCGCUCAGGGCUGUACGUGCAAGACAACAAGAGAGAUUCUCCUCUG
ensembl:lncRNA vascular cell adhesion protein 1-like